AAGUCGUAACAAGGUCUCCGUAGGUGAACCUGCGGAGGGAUCAUUAAAGAAAAAAAACAAUAUUCUAAACCCCAAGUGUUAGGAGGGGGGAGAAAGGGGGGGAAAAAGAGAGAGAGGGGUUAUAUUGCUCUUUUUUCUUUCUAUCUUUCUUUCUUCUUUUUCCUAAUGCUUCAAACAAACGAUCACAACUAUAAAGAGGGAUACCUGGGUUUUUUUGUGGGGGAUAUAUAAAAAAAAAGUGCUUGCCUGAUAAUCUGAUUAUUGGAAUUGGAAAGAGAAAAAUAUACAACUUUCAACAACGGAUCUCUUGGCUCUCA
rnacentral:misc_RNA from 1 species